rnacentral:rRNA from 1 species
GUCCAUUCUUAAUUGGUGGAGUGAUUUUUUCUGGUUAAUUCCGAUAACCAACGAGACUCUAGAAUAUUAAAUAGGUGCAUGCUUCUCUGCACCUUGCACCCUUCUUAGAGGGACAAGCGACUCUUACCCGCACAAAACAGAGCAAUAACAGGUAUGU